UGGGGAAUAUUGGACAAUGGGCGCAAGCCUGAUCCAGCCAUGCCGCGUGAGUGAUGAAGGCCCUAGGGUUGUAAAGCUCUUUCACCGGUGAAGAUAAUGACGGUAACCGGAGAAGAAGCCCCGGCUAACUUCGUGCCAGCAGCCGCGGUAAUACGAAGGGGGCUAGCGUUGUUCGGAUUUACUGGGCGUAAAGCGCACGUAGGCGGACUUUUAAGUCAGGGGUGAAAUCCCGGGGCUCAACCCCGGAACUGCCUUUGAUACUGGAAGUCGUGAGUAUGGUAGAGGUGAGUGGAAGUCCGAGUGUAGAGGUGAAAUUCGUAGAUAUUCGGAGGAACACCAGUGGCGAAGGCGGCUCACUGGACCAUUACUGACGCUGAGGUGCGAAAGCGUGGGGAGCAAACAGG
rnacentral:rRNA from 1 species